GGAGGGCUCUGCGUUUGGGGACCUGGGCGGGUUCGGGAAGUGGAAUCCAAAGGCCACUGAGACAGAGCAAACUCCUGCACCUUCAUUCAUCCUGCCUGGGAGUGAGGAGAUCAAAAGGUUUUCGAAGUCGUGGCUCAUCAUCUUUAUCCUGCACUAAUGGAGAAAUGAUUAGAGCCUUACCAAAGACUACUUACAAUGCAUCUCACUGCAUUGGAGGCGCUUCUCUUGGAGCACAGAAACAUUCCUUUUCACAACGUUAAUUCCAGGAAAUCCAAGUGCAGUAUUUGGCCAUGGAUGAUAUUUGAAAUUCUUGUCACGGUAUCUUUUCAAAAAGGAUGAAUGGAAACAGAACUGUUACCCUGCCUGAGACAGAUUUGCAAUAAAUAAAAGAUACUCUAUAAACGUACAGAUAUGAUCAAGAUUAGUUUUAUAGUUAUUGCAUAUGAUUACACAAGGGGAAUGUUUGUUCCAUCUCACUUAAAUAGCAUAGGGUUUUUGUAAUAAUAAUAUUUUUCAUCAUCGGGCCUUGUAAGUAAAUACAACAUUUUCAGUCAAAACAUAUAAGUAGUUGUUGUGCACGAACAAUGCAAAUUCUUCUUGGAAAUAUUCCUCCCAGGAGAUGUGGAGAACUUAUAAAAAAUGUAAUAAAUAACUGCUUGGCUUUUCUAUUUCUAUUAAAUAUAUUGUGUUGAAGAUGUUAUUGCUUCCAAGCAGCUGCUCAUCAUCUAGUUUUGCUGUACAAUUUCCAUUUGGGGUGAAUGACCUCUGUGCUCUCUAGAUCAUUUCUCUGAUGAAAACUGCCUGUGUUCCAGGUCUGGGUAUUCACAAAGCAAGAGGGUUUUGUGCCUGAUGGAGAGACACUGUUAAUAAAUAUUCUGUUUUUACAAUAUACUGCUCUGAGUCAGAAUGGAAGUAAAAUUCAGUUUAUAAGUUUGUGUAACAAAAAUGACUUCAGCCUUGGGUUUACAUAUGCCUGAUAAAUGUAUGAUUUUGGGGGCGUCUUACAGAUGAAUUUGGACCAUUCUCAGGGAGAAUUGAGAAGCCAGGACUGCAUUUCCUUUGACAUUGCUGUCGGCUACAGUCAGCCAAGGUGUGGCGUUUAUAAACCUGGACAAAGUUUGACAAUGGUUAGAGGGAAGUUUUGUGCCCUUCCAGGCCUUGCCCAUCUGUUUUUGGGGAUGCUCAGUAACCUUUGCUCUUCCUUUCACUUUUAGAGAAGCAUUUUGAUCACCCAUGGAUAUGUCUUAAGCUUUUCUUCCAGGAGGGCAAUGACAUUUGUGAUAACCAGCACAGGUGCAGGACUUCCUGUACCAGCAGAAGUGUUCCCAGGCAGCAUUUGAAUUUAUUUAGCUAUUGUGCCAUAGAUUGCAUUGACUGCACUGCUUUGGGAUCUCUCAGAUGGGUUAAAGGGAGCACCUCUCCUUCCAUCCUGCUGACUCAAUCCGCAGUUGCUUCCUUCUUGCAUUUGAAUUUUUAUAUCCAGAGAUUAUGGGGCUGUCAGGAAUUUAAAGGAUGAUUAAUUAUUCCUUCAGAGAGGAGGUAAAGAUACUCAGUUCAGAAAGGGGCUAAAGAUGCUAAUUUAUUAAGUAAUAUCUUUUUAUUAAACUGUUUGUGCUUCAGCCUUAAAAAAUGGGGCUUGGCUGUACAUAAAGAAAGUGAUUCUAUCCUAAGUUAUGUUCCUUCAGACGGUGCUAUACUGAAAGUGAUUUAAUAAACAAGUUUCCUUCAGUGGGUUGGAUGUUUAAAUGCAAAUGUGUGAACAUCUCUAGGUGCUCUUUACAAAUCCACAAGAGUUUCCAAAGCGAUGUGUUUUGGGAAGGAUGUGAUUAUUAUAGAUACAGCUCAGUUUAUACCCUGGUAUUUCAUCUUGGGCUCUAUAAUAAAAAAGAGUUUUACAGUGCCACAAUAAAUGUAAGUGGCUUCAUUUCUACAAAAGGGGAAAAUCUGUUUUCUGAUCCUGGCAGAAGGGAAGAUUU